rnacentral:rRNA from 1 species
AUGGGUCCUGCCGUUCUCUUCCUCCUCGUGCUUGCGGCUGUGGCACCAUUGCUCUCCGCGGUGAAGGCCUUGGACUAUCAUUCCAUGGCCAAACACUCUACGAUUUGGAUCAACAGCGACGAUUUCUUCGACAACCGCAACUACAGCCGCAACAUCCUAAGCAUAGCACAACUCCAAGCUCACUCCGACUUCGAACUCUACGUUGCCGCAGGGUUCUAUUGCGUCUCGUCCAUGUUCCCGUGCGACAAGUUCGUCUUUGCGGUAUCAAUUGGUGAUUUCACCAACACCAUGGUCGGCAUUUACAAUCGGCAGAUCGUCUGGUUCGCCAACAGGGCCCGCCCUGUCAGGGAGAAUGCCACCCUUGAGUUCACCGCAGAUGGAAACUUGGUCCUUCUUGAUGCUGAUGGUACCCACGUCUGGUCAAGCAACAUCUCAGGCCGAGGUGUAGAUGGCAUGAAGAUCACCGAGACCGGCAAUCUGCUCUUGUUUGAUCAGAAGAAUUCAACAGUGUGGCAAUCAUUUGAUUAUCCUACUGACGCAAUACUCGCUGGGCAGUCACUUGUCGAAGGUACGAGGCUCACUACAAAUACAUCUGCAACAAAUAUGUAUAUCAUUGUACAACGAGAUGGGUUAUUUGCUUAUGCUGAAUCCACGCCACCACAACUCUACUUUCAGUACAACAUGCAGAUUCCAAUAGCAAAGAUAGGAAAUUAUCCAACAAAGGCUACAUUAAUGAACGGAAGCCUUAGCUUCAUUUUGGGACAAGAUUUUCUGAAUGAAAGUAUCAAAUUACCAGUGGCUCAAUCCACACUACAGUACAUGAGAUUAGAUUCAGAUGGACACCUUAGACUGUAUGAAUGGUCAAGAUCUGCUGAGAGCUGGACAAUGGUGUAUGAUAUACUAGGGUCCAUGGGUAUGGAUGCUUGUGAUUACCCAACAGUUUGCGGGGAGUAUGGCGUAUGCUGAGGGGGGCAAUGCACAUGUCCACUUGAGAAAAAUUCAAGCUCAAGCUACUUCAAGCUCCUGGAUGAAGACAAGCCACACCAUGGUUGCACACCAUUAACUCGUAUCUCUUGUCAGGAAAUACAACACCAUCAGCUCUUGACCAUUCCCAACAUUUAUUACAAUGAUCAAAACUACAUAACGUACAACGAAACAACCAUGGAUGCCUGUAAGGAAACCUGCUUGAAGAAUUGCUCCUGCAUGGCCGUUUUGUCCACAGGUCUAAAAUGUGUGUGGGUGACGAAGAUCUUCUCCUUGCAUUCAAUAGAACCUCAAAAUGCUGGUUACAACUCCUCUGCUUACCUCAAGGUGCAACUUAGCCCCUCUAACGGAAACAGAGAUGAAUCCAAAAAGAAGGUGAUUUUCGGUGCUACACUUGGAGCUGUUACUACUCUUGUGUUGCUUGUUAUUGUUGUUGUUAUUUAUCUACGAAGGAGGAGAAAGUAUGAAGAGAAAGAUGAAGAAUUUGAUUUCGAUCAAUUGCCUGGAAUGCCAACGAGGUUUUCUUUCGAAAUGUUGAGAGAAUGCACUGAAGGGUUCAGUAGGAAGCUUGGAGAAGGUGGGUUCGGAUCGGUUUUUGAAGGCAAAUUAGGUGAAGUCAGAGUUGCAGUAAAACGUUUGGAAGGUUCGACACAAGGAAAGAAAGAAUUCUUGGCUGAGGUCGAGACCAUUGGCACCAUUGAACACAUCAAUCUUGUCAAGCUGAUUGGCUUUUGUGCAGAGAAGUCUGAGCGGCUUCUGGUAUAUGAAUAUGUGUCAAGAGGGUCGCUUGAUAGGUGGAUCUAUUACGAACAUGAAAACAACCCCCUUGACUGGUACACCCGGUGUAGGAUCAUUCUAGAUAUUGCCAAGGGCCUAUGCUAUCUUCAUGAGGACUGUAGGCGGAAAAUUGCCCAUUUGGACAUCAAACCACAAAAUAUUCUCUUGGAUGACAACUUCAAUGCCAAAGUGGCUGAUUUCGGACUUUGUAAGUUAAUAAAUAGGGAUCAAAGCAAGGUGGUGACCAUGAUGAGAGGAACACCUGGAUAUUUGGCACCUGAAUGGUUGACAUCGUCAAUCACCGAAAAAGUCGAUGUCUACAGCUUUGGAGUUGUUAUAAUGGAAAUAAUAAGUGGAAGAAAAAACAUCGACGACUCUCAGCCUGAGGACAGUGUCCAUCUCAUAAAUCUAUUGAGAGAAAAAGAACAAACCAAUCAGUUGAUUGAUUUGAUCGACAAGCACAGUGAUGAAAUGGUCUCACACGAGGAGGAAAUAAUUCGAAUGAUGAAGCUUGCCGUGUGGUGCUUACAAAGUGAUUGCGCCCGAAGGCCUUCCAUGUCAACUGUGAUCAAGGUAUUGGAAGGUGCAGAGCGCAUAGAAACUUUUGAUGCAAAUUCAAUCAUGUUUGUUCAAGAUAACCCAUCCACAUACUCAGCCCCAUCCCGAGCAUCCAUCUUAUCUGGCCCAAGGUGA